CUAGCUGCCUCUAAACCCAAUAACUGUGGAGAAUGAAGCUAGUGGAUCUCUUCAUCUCAGGAGUUCUGAACUGCAGUGGGCUAUGCCAAUCAGGUGUCCACACUGUUUGGUAUCAGCAUGGCAAGCCCCAGGUUUGAUGGUCAUGAGGUUGCCUAAGGAGGGGCAAAUGAGCCCAGGUCGGAAACAAAGCAGGUAAACGCCCCUGUGUCUCUCAGCAGUAGGCAGCCCUUGAAUUUCUAGCCUGGUCAAGAUUGAGAUAGCCAGUCUUU
rnacentral:sRNA from 1 species